AUUGAACGCUGGCGGCAGGCCUAACACAUGCAAGUCGAGCGAGCGGCGGACGGGUGAGUAAUGUCUGGGAAACUGCCUGAUGGAGGGGGAUAACUACUGGAAACGGUAGCUAAUACCGCAUACCAUCAGAUGUGCCCAGAUGGGAUGAGAUAGUAGGUGGGGUAACGGCUCACCUAGGCGACGAUCCCUAGCUGGUCUGAGAGGAUGACCAGCAACACUGGAACUGAGACACGGUCCAGAGUCCUACGGGAGGCAGCGGUGGGGAAUAGUGCACAAGGGGCGCAAGCCUGAUGAAGCCAUGCCGCGUGUAGGAAGAAGGCCUUCGGGUUGUAAAGCACUUUCAGCGGGGAGGCGUUACCCGCAGAAGAAGCACCGGCUAACUCCGUGCCAGCAGCCGCGGUAAUAC
rnacentral:rRNA from 1 species